AUGGCCUGCCUGGGUGGCCGACCUGCCACGGCGGUGGUUACCCCGUCGCCUGCUGCUGCGGCCCUACUUUCUGAGCCGCCGAAGACUGCUUCUGCCCUGGCAAACCAAGGGCGGCAGGUGCAGUUGUUGCUGCAUGGUGGUGGAUCGGAGUGUGCGGCUGCGAUCGAGGCGGCGGCUAGGUCGCCUUCCACGCCGGUGUUUGUGCCCUGCUCGCCGGCCCCUUCCAUCACACACGAGCCUUCUGACACGACGCCCAUCUUGGCCACCCCGUUGGCGACCCCGGCAUCUGCUGGAGCUGAUUCCACGCCAGCUUUUCUCAAGAGAAGGUCCCCUCUGCUGCCAACACCGGUGACGUCCAGGCCGAAGCCGACCAAGGCGAGACGCAAGACUCUGGCCCCUGGCUUCUCGGUCAACAGGAGGAGUGCGCGCCUACAAUCCAAGAACAGGUCCACGCCGGUGGCUCAGAUGGCCGAGAAGAUCCUUUGUCGUAGAGUCGGCAUUGUGCAGGAAGGCGACCAGGUCACUGAAGAUGCUAUCGCGAAGUUCGCGGAGCUGUGCCGGGGCAAGCUUCCCCCGUUAGCUGUUGGCGCACCUCGGGCCCUCUUCCGCCUCGACUGCGACCUUGCGACGGCCGUUGAAGAGGCGCUGAUCGAGCAUGGUGGGGCUGCUGGUCUAGACCACGAGGUGGCUGAUCAGGUGGACUGCAUGGCUGCAGUCUAA
rnacentral:rRNA from 1 species